rnacentral:rRNA from 1 species
CUACGGGAGGCAGCAGUGGGGAAUCUUGCGCAAUGGGCGAAAGCCUGACGCAGCAACGCCGCGUGGGGGAUGAAGGCUCUCGGGUUGUAAACCCCUUUCAGCAGGGACGAAUCAAGACGGUACCUGCAGAAGAAGCCCCGGCUAACUACGUGCCAGCAGCCGCGGUAACACGUAGGGGGCAAGCGUUGUCCGGAUUUAUUGGGCGUAAAGAGCUCGUAGGCGGCUCGGUAAGUCGGGUGUCAAAUCCCCAGGCUCAACCUGGGGCUGCACUCGAUACUGCUGUGGCUAGAGUCCGGUAGGGGAGCAUGGAAUUCCUGGUGUAGCGGUGGAAUGCGCAGAUAUCAGGAGGAACACCGGUGGCGAAGGCGGGUCUCUGGGCAGUAACUGACGCUGAGGAGCGAAAGCGUGGGUAGCGAACAGGAUUAGAUACCCUUGUAGUCC